CGAGGGCGCCUCAACCACCCCCUGCCCGACCUGUCCAAGGUGGAGGCGCGGGUGAAGUUCGACCAGAGCUACCGCCCACCCCGGGGCCGGGUGCUCCCUGCCCGCCCCCGCGGCCCCAUCGGCUUCAAAUCCCCGGCCGAAAUCGUCCGGGAGGUGCUGCUGAGCAGCGGCGAGGGGGCGUCCCCCCAGCCCCCCAGCACGGCCGGGCUGCCGCAGGAAUUCAGGUCCCCCAGACAAGCCACGGCGCUGGUGCAGCAGCUCCAGGACGACUACCACAAGCUGCUGACCAAGUACGCCGAGGCUGAGAACACCAUUGACCAGCUGCGCCUGGGCGCCAGGGUGGGUGGGGGCUCAGGAUGCCUGGAGGGGUUUCCCUCCCUGCUCCCCCCUCCCUGAGGUUAUGAGUUGUGCCUUCCUCCCCCGGCCCCCCUCCUCUUCCUCCUUCCGGGGAGCUGCGGUUGAGGCCACCGCAGAGCCCACAGCAGCCCGGGGAGCACCGUGCCCUCCUCGCCUGCAGGGUCCCUUCCGUGCCAGGGCGGUGGCAGAGCCGGAUUGUCCCCGGAGUGGCGGGGCACGUCUCUGCGAUGGCAGGAAGCACGUCCCUGUGUCACCUCUGCCACCGCGUGGGUGGGGAAACCGAGGCAGGGCUGUCCCAACCGCCCCCCGCACUCGUGUCCCCACCUUCACCGCACCCACUGCUGUGCCCAUGAGGUGCUUCAGGGUGCCCCGGGGCACAGUGGGUGGGUCGGGGUGCAGGCUGGCUGCCCAAACCCUCUCUCCCUGCCCAGGUGAGCCUAUUCUCCGACCCGCCACAGCCCAGCCGCAGCCUCGCCGUGGGCACCGUGGCUACCGGGAGUCGAGUGAUGACCCUGAGCAUCCCGCAGGCACGGACAGCGGCUCUCGGUAUGGCCACAGCCCCGGCUCCUCCAGGUGCAGCUGCAGCCCCGGGACCGUCAGAGCGGGGGGGUUCACCCCAACCUCGGUCCCCUCCUCCGCCCGGGGGGAGCUGCCCCACCUGCCCCGGGCCCUGCUGCUGCCCCGGCCCCCGGCUCACCCGGGCCCUGGCAGGGCAGAGCCGCCGGCUGCAGGCGCAGGUGGAAUCCUUCGAAAGCUGGGUGCGUUCAGGGACCCCUACAGCCUCGGAACAGCUCCAGAGGAUGAGGAUGCUGAAGGACGCGCAGGAUGCGCUGGAGCGGGAAUACCUGCGGGGCCGGCAGCAGCUCCCGGCAGCUGCGGGGGAGUUUGA
rnacentral:lncRNA from 1 species